UACGAAGGGUGCAAACGUUGCUCGGAAUUAUUGGGCGUAAAGCGCACGUAGGCGGCAUUGCAAGUCGGAUGUGAAAUCCCUCGGCUUAACCAAGGAAGUGCAUCCGAAACUGCAGUGCUUGAGUACUUAAGAGGAUCGCGGAAUUCCCGGUGUAGAGGUGAAAUGCUUAGAUAUCGUCAAGAACACCUAUAGCGAAGGCAGCUUACUAGGCUGUAACUGACGCUGAGGCACGAAAGUGUGGGGAUCAAACAGG
rnacentral:rRNA from 1 species